GGGGAGGUAAAUGAGCACGAGAAGGAGUGCCUGGGGGGGGGGCGGUGGGUGUCGGUCAUCUGCGGGGAUACGAGGAAUACCUAUACGAUACACUACGGGGAAGAGGGACUCGGCUUGCAUUAUUAGCCUUCCCAUAAAAAUUGGGGGGAAAGCCCAAAGGGAAAUUGUGGGCGGGGGUUACCCCCCGGGGAAACGGCCAACCCC
rnacentral:rRNA from 1 species